AUACGGAGGAUGCGAGCGUUAUCCGGAUUUAUUGGGUUUAAAGGGUGCGUAGGCGGACGAUUAAGUCAGCUGUGAAAUGCCCGCGCUUAACGCGGGAAGUGCAGUUGAUACUGGUUGUCUGGAGUGCCGUUGCCGUGGGGGGAAUGUGUAGUGUAGCGGUGAAAUGCAUAGAUAUUACACAGAACGCCGAUUGUGAAGACACCUCACGAAGCGGUAACUGACGCUGAGGCACGAAAGCGUGGGGAUCGAACAGGAUUAGAUACCCUGGUAGUCCACGCAGUAAACGAUGAUCACUAGCUGUUUGCGAUACAGUGUAAGCGGCACAGCGAAAGCGUUAAGUGAUCCACCUGGGGAGUACGCCGGCAACGGUGAAACUCAAAUGAAUUGGCGGGG
rnacentral:rRNA from 1 species